ensembl:lncRNA
UCUUGUCAACAAUCAACAGCCUCUACGAUCCUCUAGGGUUUGUAGCGCCAGUCACAAUACAAGGCAAGGCUAUUCUGAGAGAGCUAACAACUGAGAAAGGUGACUGGGACUCGCCUUUGCCUCGAGAAAUGGAGGAAUCAUGGACAUCGUGGAGAACAUCCUUAACAGAACUGUCCCAGCUGUCUAUUCCCAGAGCCUACACUACAACUUCCCCCGCAACAGCUGUCAGAAGGGAAUUGUGCGUAUUUUCUGACGCAUCCACAAAAGCUAUUGCCGCUGUGGCAUACCUAAAAGUAACUGACUCUGCUGGAAAUAACCAUGUCGGAUUUGUAAUGGGCAAAGCCAAGCUGGCCCCCCGUCCUGAGCAAACAAUUCCGAGACUGGAACUUUGCGCAGCAGUGCUUGGAGUGGAGUUAGCAGACCUAAUCUCGACAGAAUUAGACCUUCAGCUCGAUGCUACAACCUUCCACUCAGACAGCAAGGUGGUCCUUGGCUACAUUUCUAAUGAAACUAGGCGCUUUUAUGUGUAUGUAAGUAACCGGAUCCUCUCGCCCAGAUCAAUGGCGCUAUGUGUCAACAGAACAGAACCCCGCAGACCACGCUACACGUGCUGUCACUGCAGACCGUUUGAAUGACACAAACUGGCUGAGCGGGCCCAAAUCUCUGUAC